rnacentral:rRNA from 1 species
UACAGAGGAUGCAAGCGUUAUCCGGAAUGAUUGGGCGUAAAGCGUCUGUAGGUGGCUUUUUAAGUCCGCCGUCAAAUCCCCAGGGCUCAACCUGGGAAUGGCGAUGGAUACUGGCUCGCUAGAGUGCGGUAGAGGAGAGUGGAAUUCCCGGUGUAGCGGUGAAAUGCGCAGAUAUCGGGAAGAACACCCGUGGCGAAGGCGGCUCUCUGGGACGGUACUGACGCUGAGACGCGAAAGCGUGGGGAGCGAACAGG